UCAACGAACAAAAGAAUGAAUCUUCGGGAUACUGGUGAACGUAACAGAAGAGAAGAAGAUCUUUACAUCUACGUGGACCAUGAAUUUAGUGAUGGUGGAGGAUAUCUUGAGCCCAUUGGAGCAAGACCUAUCGAAAAAUUAAGCGUCAGCACCAAUGUAAAUCAGUCAAAUACAUCGACAAAAUCUUGGAAACCUGUGUUGGUUAUUCUCCUUAUAAGCUUUCUCAUCUGUGGACUUGUCACAACGAGCGCAUUAUUUGCUCUGGAGAAAAGUAAAACAUACGUUAUUCACACUGGCGUAAAAGUUACUUUUCACAUGAAAAAUUUCAUUCAUGUUUCCAUUAUUA